AAUUAAUUCCCCGGAGGGCAAAAAAUCGACCUUCGAUUCUUACAUGAAAGAAUCGAUUCUGGGGAAAAUCGAAUACCAAAGAAUCGAUUCAAAAGAUCGAUUUUUUUACCUAAAGAAUCGAAUCGGAAUCGAAUGCUUCUGCUUGCUUCUACUAUCUAUAGUCACUUUGCGUUAUGUGUCAAAGUAGAGCACAUAACCUAAUCAAUCCUUGUAUAUCCAAAUUCCUAUGCCAAGUACUCUAGUAGAAUAUUCAAAUACUAAAUCAACCUUUAAUAUAAAGAAGAUCCUGUAAUAGUCACACACCACGAUCAAGGAAAGGAACAAAAGAAUUAAAGAUUUAAUUGCAAGAAAACAGGAGAGCAGAAGAAGCACAAGAAUAAGAACAAGGGCUCAAGUAUCAAGUAUUAAAAAUAUUUCAAUAGACAAGUUCUAGUAAACGAAAGUCACAGUCACUUCAACCCACAGCACCCCAAGUGAAAAGUUAUGUAGACAGGGCAAAAUCACAACUUAAGAAGGGCUGGAUAUCAACAUAAUGCAUCGACAGGAUGAGCUGUCAGAAGGAGCAAGAGCCUGAGGGUUAGGGUUAGGGUUAGGGUUAUGAAUUAUCCCUACACAAGUUUGGUUUAGAACAAUGUUAACACCUCAAUAACAGUGAUAGCAACAAUCAUGAUUGUAGUCAGCCAAGAACAAAUGGCAGCAUUGACCAGUUAUAAAAUAUGAGCAGAUAGACUGUGUUUAACAAGCGUGUAAUAAUACAAUAAAAUAAAGCAGAAUAAGUAACUGCAACAGUGUUCAGAGAUGUGCCCAUACCAUUAUGUACAAGACAUAAACUGCCAGGUCCUGUCCUUUCGCGACCGCGAGCUUGUACUGCUAUAUUCUGCCGCCGCAGCCUGUUUAAUCUUCUGCACCUGUGACGAAUUCUCAGCCGCUCUAUAGACCUGAUUGACUGGAAAAAUAAAUAUUAUGUUAUUAUUCAUAAACAGUGAAUAGAAGAAGGAAGUAACGUAGAAACAGGAACGUAAAAACAGGAACGUAAAAAAACGACUUACUAUAUGCUCCUGUGGCUCAUCAGGCUCGUACAAGUUUACGAGCGGCGACCGCUGUGCCUGUGCCGUCUGUUGUGGAAAAA